CAACAGACCUCUCUGCAUUGAAUCAUAUCUGUUAUUAAUCUCUGUCUCUCUUACACAGCAUGUCUUUAUCCUGUCUUCCUUAUCUCACCCCAAACAGUGUUAUGAGACAACUCAGGUGGACCCAGAUAGCAGACCACACGGGCACAUUAGAUGACAGUGCAGAUGGUUUAUUUACAGUGAAGGAGAAACAUUAACAUAGUUCAGGGAUCGUGUGGGAACUGGAGGAGAACUCAAACGGUCUACGGGAAGGAAAAAGAGUGGAAAAUGUGGAUUACGUGAGGUAGGAGAGUUGGAGAGCUUACUGGUCACAAAUCUUGGUAACAAGCUUGACUAAGCAAUGUGAGGAACUGGUGACAGCGCAGGCAUUCCAGGAAAAGACAAACUCUGAGGAACAAGCUGGUGACUGUCUGCCAGACCUCUUCCUGUCUGAGUUUCUGAGUGUUUUUGGUGAAAGAAAUUGUAUUCACUGACACCUUGACUUUCUUUGGAAUUUCUUUGUGACUUACAUUUUUAAGUCUUAUGAUGGUCUGUCUCUCUUCCAUUGUUAACUGCUUUUUUUAUCCUUAAGGCUAAUAUCUCAUAAUUAGCAUGUUACACUUGGAGCAUAUUCGUCUUCUCUCUCUCAAAUAUUAACCCAACAACAACAACAAAAGUAACCCAACAAAGACCUGUACGAAUCGUUGGGAUUUAUUUUUAUCUGUAAGUAUAAUAUCUCAUAAAUAGCAUUGCAUAUUUGUGUUUUGUCUUUUACUGCACACAGUGUAGAAUAGUCUUCACUCACUCUGAUAUCAACACACUGAGAUCCCUACACAAGAAUGUGGAUGGGAGUUUUAGUACCUACAAGACAACGAGGCCAUAAAUCAGGUGCUGCUGGUGUGCACUCUCCCUUAUUCUGACCAGAGGGCAAAAGAUGGUUGCCAUAGUAAUGGGGCGUUGCUGGCAGAAGGCUUAUCUCCAAAUAAGGAGAUGCUCAGAAAGCUGCAGAGAAAGAAAUGUGAGCUGAAGCGCUGGAUCUUAGCCAAAUAAGAUCUGUGGCUUUCCUCCAACUCUUGACCAACUCUUGACCUUAGUAUCCUGUUUAUCACACGUAACUAAAAGCAUUUACUGUCUGAGUGUGGUGCUCUUUUAGAUCAUCCUGGGAUCAAAGAGACAGCCGUUUUUAACUCCAACCUUUGACUGCUUGAAUAAAACAAAGAUAAAGUCAUAUGUUAAGUUUGCAUUGCCUUCUCUCAUAAAAGAACUCAGCAGAAUUAGUAGCACCAGCUUUCAAUGCUUUCAACCUCCAUUGCUGCAGUUUUAAAUUGUUAACCCAUUUUGUGUUUCCUGAAAAAGGCAAUUUUUACAUAGGCAUCAGUCAACAGAUCUCAGCAUAAUCUGAUAAAAUUCAUAUCGAUCUCUGCUGCACUUGAUGUAACCGACCACCACAGCCACUGUGUACCAGUCAAUCACUGUUCUUUACUUUGAAUCUAUCACAGUACAGCAAACUUGUUUAUCCUGCACUAAACUGCAGAAUAUUUUCAUGCAGUGUUUAAAUAGCAGUUAAUCCACUUGAGUUUGAUUUGCAGCAUAUUUCAUAAUAUAAUAAAAAAGAUAAUGUCACAUUUUCCGGCACAAUAUCUGGUUUAAAAACACUCCUUAUCUUUAAAUCUAACAUCUCUUCUUUCUCUCCUGUCCUCUUUCUUAUCUUUCUCCAUCUCUGACAGAAGUUAGUUCUUUUUCUUGUCUCUCCCUGUGAAAUACAGAAUCUCCAAAAGUUGAUUCUGUUCAUCUGGACGUAGCGUUUUGUGGGAGAAACGUUUCGUCACUCAUCCAAGUGACUUCUUCAGCCUCAGCUGACCCAGGGGAAUCCACACCAAGCCUGUAUGGUUUACCAAAAAUACAUAAACAGGGUGCACCUCUAAGUCCGAUUGUCUGCAUGAUCAACUCGGUCACCUAUAACAUCUCCAAGUUUCUGGCUUCGAUCCUCAACCCGCUGGUGGGCAGCUCUGAACACCACAUCCAGGACACCCUGGAUUUUGUUGUAAUGUCCUGAUGACACCUAUUUUGUGAUCCAGUGGAUUAUGGCUAUGUUCACACUGCAGACGAAAGCGCAUCAAAUCUGACACCUUCGCACAAGAGAGAGCACAAGAGGCUAACACUGAUGAGGUGUGGACAGGCCUACAUUACCUGGCGGGUGAGUGGCUGUGGGUGGAGAAGAGAUGCAAUAUGUGGAUAUCCCACGCUGCCCAAUUGAAAGCUUCUGUGGUGUCCUUGAGAAGAACGGUGCUGCAUCCUUUGGUAUAAGAAAUUGCCAGCUCAAAAGGAAGUUCUUAUGUUACAAGAAGCCUUAAACAUAUUACAUUCAAUGAAGUACUGUAGUGUAACAAAUACAUGUACUUGAUACUUUGUCCACUUUCAUACACUGUGCUCAAAACAUGAAUUACCGUCAUGAUAUUUUAAUUAUCAAGUCAUGAUAUUUACUCGAAGUAAUCAUUUUAUCAUCUUUUAGAAUUCACAUUCAGUAAAUUCUGUGUACAUAACAAUUCUACCAGUCUCCUUAACGUAUGGUCAGCCAGCUUUUUAAUAAAAAGCAAAGAUGAAAUCCUGAGGCCACCCAAGUGGCCUGGAGGGUGGGGGGCUACAGCCUGUCCCAGUCGUCAUAGGUAGAGUCAGCCUAGACAGGUCACGUCUUUCGCAGGGCUAACAGAGAGACAGACAUUAGUUAGAGUUGCAAAUCUGUUUAAAAUUACAGCAAGUUUUCAACAACUGUAUGACUGACCACGUGUUUCUGUGUGUAUAGUCCACUUCUCAGGAAGCUGCACUUAAAUUUUGUAUUCCCUUUCAGACUGACCUCACAAAAGGCUGAUGUGGCUGGUCCAGUAGUCCAAAUUAAGUAUAGUACCUUUGAUCAGCCAUUAUUCCAGUACAACCCCUGCACCGCCUUCAUUUUAGCAGUCCUGGAGUGCGUACUCUUACGUAUUUUUCCUACACCUGAAUAAAAAAUAUGUUUACAAAUAACAGAUUCAGCUAAUUGUAAAAAUAGUGCUGUUGACACAGGGACACAACAAAGAGAGGAGGGCAAAGUCUAAUUUACAGUUUUUUACAGUCGCUAACAAGCGCCUACCCAUACUUCAGAUACUUUUUCUAAACUCUUAACACAGACCCACACCUACAAAACACAAUUGGCCAAAUGGAUAAUAUCCUUCCCAAAAAUACACUCUGUUAAAUAUAUACUAACUCCUCAUUUCAAAAUUAGAACACAUCUUUCUCUGCACACACUAACUGUACAAAAACACUAUAAAUCUGACUCAAAAUGAAAUUAGUCUGUCAAAGAAUAACACUUGUCUUCACUUCACAAGGUACAUGCAGUCAAUCAAAGUACACCAGGUGUCAAAAUACUGGCUAUUAUUGACAUUACAAAAACUGCAUAGACUUUUAUGUUUCAGUUUUACAGGUAUGUGCAUGCGAAACAUGCAAUCCACCAUUUUGACACCAGAAAUGUCUUGGUUGGUAACUGCAUGUCCACAUGUACAGUAAUGUUCACAUUCAAAAGCAUUCCAGUAAAAAGCAAACAAGUUUCUGUGUCUUUACUGUUUACUACAGGAGGUACAGUAGAAACACGGUAUGAUAGGACAGAGAAAGUGUCACAGUAUUGCUUACAGUGAACAAAAUAUCCAUGGAACACACAAGAGCAUUCUGAACAAAAAAACAACAGCAAAAAGCCAAGAUAAAAAGGGGGGGAGGGGGGCUAAAAAAAGGCAAAAAAGUUGCAUCUAAUCUCUGCGAUCUUCAGGGUUAGGCCACAUGUUUUCAUCAACAUCACAUCUGAUGUCAGCCAAGUCGAUGCACCUGGGAUAAAACCGCCUGGUAUGUCGGAUCCACCCUUGGCAAUCGUCAACUGUGAUGUCCCUGGAGCCAGCAUCCAUGGCUUCAAGGAGGGACAUCUGGUCAUGUGGCUGAUGGUCAUAAACCUUCCACCGCCAUGCAGAAAAGAACUCCUCUAUGGGGUUGAGGAAAGGUGAAUAGGGUGGAAGGAAGAGACUCACCAGUCUUGGGUGGACUUCAAACCAUGUUGUUAUUGCUUGCGAGUGAUGGAAAGCCACAUUGUCCCAGGUAAUUACAAAGGUCCUCAUGUUUUCACCCUCCUGACCCUGCUCUGGAACCAGGCGCUGGUGGAGAUCAUUGAGAAAGGCAAGCAAGCGCUCUGUAUUAUAGGGUCCAACCUGACAUUUGUGAAGGAGUAAUCCUGCAUUUGCAAUUGCUGCACACAUGGUAAUGUUUGCCCCUCUCUGUCCUGGCACAUCAACUGUGGCCCUUUUACCAAUCACAUUCCGUCCACGUCGACGCCUUUUGGCCAGAUUGAAUCCUGCCUCAUCGAUGUAUAUGAAUUCAUGAGGGGCCUGGUUGGCCUCCAAUUCCAUAACUCUCUGAAACAAAGUUUAUGUAAGUCAUGUUAGUACUGUAUACCAUACUGUACUGUAACCUAGUAUUGUGUAGGUUACCUACUUGCAAAGUGCAAAGCUUAUAGAACUGGACAUUGGAUUGAAUAUACACUGUACCUGGACAUAUUGUCGUCGUAGCUCCUUGACCCUCUCACUGUUCCUCUCAAAGGGAACAGUGUAGAGCUGCUUCAUCCGCACUCUAUGUUUGGACAAUGUCCGCGAAAUGGUUGUGAGGCUGAUUCUAUCGAUAUUGUCGAAUAUCUCAUGGUCCGCCACAAUUCUGGUUUGUAUUUCACGCAGUUUUAUUGCAUUAUUUGCAGUAACCAUUUCCACAAUGGCAAGCUCCUGAUCAUUACUGAGGAGCUUUCCUCUUCCCCCAGAGGGUGGAAGACGUUGCAUUCUUUAGAAAGACA